UUACAUAAACAAAGUUGUAAGGUCCUUGUUGGUUGGCAUAAUAUUCCUUGAAUCUACUGAGUUCUAGUGAAGUCAAAUAUUUUCAGUAAUGCCCAGUUUAGAGAAUAGGUACGUUGUACACACUAGAGUGGAGCAAAAGUUAUUGAAUCUUUCAAAUUACUUGGUCACUUUGUCCUGCUUUAAACUUGCUUACUCAAAUACAGAAGAAUCUUAAAUUUAAAACAUCAUUCUUUUGUUUUUUAACCACAAGGUGAACAAAAUCACAAAUAUCAGGAAGAGAGAAGGCUAGAUUUUUCUGCAUCUUUUGAGUGACUAAUUUUUUUCUCUACAGUGGUUUCUUAAACCCAAAGUUUGCAUUCUUAGGCUUCCUAACAAGUUAUACAAAUGUGUAAAGACAUGUAUAUUAAGCCAUAUCAAGUUAUAAACUUAAAGAACAAUGGAAUAUUCAUAUAAAAAUACAGAAUUUGCAGUAUGGUUCCCACAAUAUUUAAUUCUAACACAUUGUGUUAAUCUUAAGCACAUAAAGCAAAAAAUGGGAAAGAAACAGAAUGGGAAGAGUAAAAAGGUUGAAGAGGCAGAGCCUGAAGAAUUUGUGGUGGAAAAAGUACUGGAUCGACGUGUAGUAAAUGGGAAAGUGGAGUAUUUCCUGAAGUGGAAGGGAUUUACAGAUGCUGACAAUACUUGGGAACCUGAAGAAAAUUUGGAUUGUCCAGAGUUAAUUGAAGCAUUUCUUAAUUCUCAAAAAGCUGGUAAAGAAAAAGAUGGUACAAAAAGAAAGUCUUUAUCUGACAGUGAAUCUGAUGAUAGCAAAUCAAAGAAGAAAAGAGAUGCUACAUCUUCAAGGUCUGGCUUAACAAAAGACAGCUCUACUUUACACAUUUGAUUGUUGUAGUAUGUGGUUUUGGUGGAGGUAUAUGAAGACCAUCCAAGUCAUGAAUACAUAAAAAGAGGGAACCUUGCAGAACCCCCUCCCAAAAAAGUCUCAGGGACGCCCAGGUGUUCUUACACUUCACUUUGAGAACCACUGGUUUAUACUAAGUACUUUAUAAGGUUUGUUGUAAUUCAUACCAUUGCAAUACUAGUUAGUCUGAGUUUUACAAUUUUUACUAUUUGUAUUUUGUUUAUGCUUUUAAAAUAGGUAGAUAAUUUAGACUAAUUCCCAGAAUAUAUUUGAAAUACUAACUUUCAAGAGUUUAUAAUUAUUAGUUACCAAUACCAGAAAUAAAGGAAUUUAUUUUUUCUUAUAUGCCCACUCAGUCCACCCUUAAUGUCUUUUAGAUAAAGUAUUUGUCUGUUUUCUUGACUUUUGAUUCAGAAUGUUUUUAAGUAUUCUACAUUGGGUAUCAGAUACCCAGAUUUGUUUUUUCUGCUUUUAAAGUUAAUAGAAAUUACUAUGUAUUUUAAUACCAAAUAUGGGCUCUUGGCUCUACUCAUUUGUGUCACUUUUGGAAGCUGUUUGUUUAAAAGCUCUAUAUCAUGAAACUAAAUUUGAAGUUAAUAUUCUUAGUUUGCUGUAUGGAAACAUGUAUGUAAAUAAUCACUCAAGCUCUCCUAAAUAGGCUGACAAACCAAGGGGCUUUGCCAGAGGUCUUGAUCCUGAAAGAAUAAUUGGUGCCACAGAUAGCAGUGGAGAAUUAAUGUUUCUUAUGAAAUGGAAAGAUUCAGAUGAGGCAGAUUUGGUGCUGGCAAAAGAGGCAAAUAUGAAGUGUCCUCAAAUUGUAAUUGCUUUUUAUGAAGAGAGACUAACUUGGCAUUCUUGUCCAGAAGAUGAAGCUCAAUAAUUGUUUGCAUUGCUUUUUAUAUAUAUUUAUAUAUAUAUAUAAAAUCUGGGUCUUGGUUUUUGAUUUACUAGUGUGAAGAAAUAACUACAUCUAAUAAAUCAAGUUUGAUACAUUUGUUUUGAAAGUAGUAUUGAGAGAGUUGUUGGGGGGGGGUUGCAUCAAUAGCACUGGUUACUUUGAACAAAUAAAAGCUUUCUGUAGUUGCUUCCUUUAUCAGAAAAGAACAUAUGAUACCAUGGUAUAUUACUUCCUCUGCGCUACGGAACAGCUUUUCUAAAUGCUAGGGGAAAUUUCCAUACCCAUUAUUCAAUCAGAGCUUGUGUUUAACUCAUGCCUAAGGACCAUUCUGGGUUUUUUUAAUUUGUUUUUGUGUGUGUAUACGUAAAAUGCAUAUGUAAAUGAUUGUUUUUAAACAUUCACCAAAACAAAAAUCACGGGUAAGCCCAUGUGUCUGCGAUGCUAUCAUUUUGAGCAACCUAAGAAUUGAAAAUUUUCCUGAAGCCAUAACAUUUCAAACUGAAUAGUCGGUUCGUAAUUAAUUGGAUAAUUUAAAGGCAGCCAUAUCCGAAGACAUAGCUGCAUGUUUAUUCAUAUAAAUGCAACAUUGUGUUUGCAAAAUUCCUAAAAGGAAAAGCUUUAUCGCUACCAACAAUCUCCCCACCCAGAUGAGGAAACUAGAUAAAUUCUGGUGUGUUCUAAUACUGUAAACAAGACUUUAGUUAAAUGCACAUUAAAGAUUCCCCUAGUGAGCAAUUGUUUUACAAGAACUUGAAAUCCCUAUGCUGCAUUGAAUAAAAGUUCAUGAUUAAUGGAAUAUCUGAGGCUUGGCUCAUGGAAACUUAAUCAGAUGGUUAGAAAUGUUGGCAGUUUCAGAUGUGCUGACAUAAUGGGUAAACAAACUUUUUGUAAUCUAUUGACUGCAUGUUUUUUCCUUACCCCAACUCAUUUCUUACAUGUAGGCUCAAUCUUUUCAGUAUUUGGGUUACUGGUUCUGCAGAAGCCAGGAAAACAGCCUUGUAGUAAUCAGAAUGUUAUCCAACUGUAUAUUGUUUACUUUAUUGUAAAUACUGGUGAACAGUGGUCAAUAAAUAGUUUUAUAUUCCUUUAUGC